rnacentral:rRNA from 1 species
UGGGGAAUCUUAGACAAUGGGCGCAAGCCUGAUCUAGCCAUGCCGCGUGAGCGAUGAAGGCCUUAGGGUUGUAAAGCUCUUUCAGAUGGGAAGAUAAUGACUGUACCAUCAGAAGAAGCCCCGGCUAACUCCGUGCCAGCAGCCGCGGUAAUACGGAGGGGGCUAGCGUUGUUCGGAAUUACUGGGCGUAAAGCGCACGUAGGCGGACUGGAAAGUCAGAGGUGAAAUCCCAGGGCUCAACCUUGGAACUGCCUUUGAAACUCCCAGUCUUGAGGUCGAGAGAGGUGAGUGGAAUUCCGAGUGUAGAGGUGAAAUUCGUAGAUAUUCGGAGGAACACCAGUGGCGAAGGCGGCUCACUGGCUCGAUACUGACGCUGAGGUGCGAAAGCGUGGGGAGCAAACA